rnacentral:lncRNA from 1 species
CUGCUGCGCUCCCCAGACGAGGAAACCUGGUCUCCCGGAGCCAGCUCUGGGACAAACCAGCUUCUAUGUCAUGAGCACACUCAGGCAGCUCAUUGGAGAGAUCUGCAUGGUAAAGCAAUGAGGCCUCCUGCCAGCAGCCAUGUGAGUGGCAUCUUGGAGCCAGACCCUCCAGCCCCAGUCAAGCCUUCGGAUGCCUGCAGCCCUGGCUGACAUUUUAACCACAACUUCAUGAGAGAUUCUGAGCCAGAAUCACCCAGCUAAGCUGCUCCCGGGUUGCCAGGUGCAACAGGAACCUGGAGCCUCAAGAGCCGAGGUGCUCAGGAGGGGCAGCAUGACUCCAGGGCUCGGAAGGAGCCCCUCAGGUAAGGUCCCCUCAAAGCCUGAGAGUUCCCUUUGUCCACAACUCAUCUAUUUUGCCCAGAUAUGUUUUUGGACACGGCAGUUCCCAGAUAAGAGCAGGCUCGGCCCCCUGGCCUCAGAGCUCAGCCUUCAGGGUAGGGCAGGAGAAAGAAUGUAAUCAGAGUUAUGGCUUAAUGAAGUGAACCGUAAUAACCAUAAACAGACAGUCUGGGAUUUGGUUUGUUAUUUUGUACAAGGCAGUACCUUUCAAUAGCAACUGGUGUUAGGGCCAAGCUUAAACAUUUUCAUCUCACCAACAAAAAAACAGUGAUCCCAUUGUUACACUACACUCUCCCACCUUAAAAUGGGAUUGGUUUUGUGGAUUGGGAAAGUUACCAAAAAUAAGUUUCUUCAAUCACAAAGGUUAGCAGAAAGGAAGUUGCUGGAUUGUUGCUAGAUUGCUAGGAAGUUGCUAGAUGAGAGGGGCCUAUAGGUAAGCAGUAUCUGUUAUAGACAAUGUGUGCCAGGCCAUCUACCUCAAACUUUUUUCCUAUUUAAUCCAUGUAAUAGGUACCAAAUCCUACACAACUUAAGGCUAAAAAAUAAGUUUGCUUAUGAGUCCCUAUAUACAAGGUAAAAUAGAGAUUGUUCUAUGGACUAGCUUAUGGCUGCAAACUACAUUUUAAGAAAAGCAUAACCAGGCCGGGCGCAGUGGUUCAUGCCUGUAAUCCCAGCACUUUGGGAGGCCAAGGCAGGCGGAUCACCUGGGGUCAGGAGUUUGAGACCAGUCUGACCAACAUGGAGAAACCCUGUCUCUACUAAAAAUACAAAAAUUAGCCGGGUGUGGUGGCACUUGCUGGUAGUCCCAGCUACCCGGGAGGCUGAGACAGGAGAAUCACUUGAAUCCAGGAGGCAGAGGUUGCAGCAAGCCAAGAUUGUGUCACUGCACUCCAGCCUGGGCAACAGAGCAAGACUCUGCCUCAAAAAAAAAAAAAAAAGAAAGAAAGAAAGAAAAAAGAAAAGCAUAACCAAGAGUGUUUUCCUUCUUGAGACCAACACCCCAAAUACAACAUGCCCAGGUGGUUGUGCCACACAGCCUGACAGUGCAGCUUCCUGAGCACCAGUGUAAGAUGGAGGGAGACAGGUG